AAUGAACGUUGGCGGCGUGGAUUAGGCAUGCAAGUCGAGCGCUCACCCGCAAGGGUGGGAGCGGCGAAAGGGAGAGUAACGCGUGGGUAUCUGCCCUCGGGACUGGGAUAGCUGCGGGAAACUGCAGGUAAUACCAGAUGACGUCCCCGGACCAAAGGUGUGAUUCCGCCUGAGGAUGAGCCCGCGUCCUAUUAGCUAGUUGGUAGGGUAAUGGCCUACCAAGGCAAUGAUGGGUACUGGGUGUGAGAGCACGACCCAGCUCACUGGGACUGAGACACUGCCCAGACACCUACGGGUGGCUGCAGUCGAGAAUCUUCGGCAAUGGGCGAAAGCCUGACCGAGCGACGCCGCGUGUGGGAUGAAGGCCUUCGGGUUGUAAACCGCUGUCAGAGGGGAGGAAUGGGCGGAGGGUAAUCUCUUCGUUUUGACCUAUCCUCAGAGGAAGUACGGGCUAAGUUCGUGCCAGCCGCCGCGGUAACAC
rnacentral:rRNA from 1 species